CUGAGGUGAGGUACAGUAAUAAGGAGUAGCCCUCCCUCCCUCCCUCUGAUUAGAGACCCCAGACCAGGAUGUGAGCUCCAGAGACUUGAAGGAGACUGAGGUGAGGUACAGUAAUAAGGAGAAGCCCUCCCUCCCUCUGAUUAGAGACCCCAGACCAGGAUGUGAGCUCCAGAGACUUGAAGGAGACUGAGGUGAGGUACAGUAAUAAGGAGUAGCCCUCCCUCCCUCUGAUUAGAGACCCCAGACCAGGAUGUGAGCUCCAGAGACUUGAAGGAGACUGAGGUGAGGUACAGUAAUAAGGAGUAGCCCUCCCUCCCUCCCUCUGAUUAGAGACCCCAGACCAGGAUGUGAGCUCCAGAGACUUGAAGGAGACUGAGGUGAGGUACAGUAAUAAGGAGUAGCCCUCCCUCCCUCCCUCUGAUUAGAGACCCCAGACCAGGAUGUGAGCUCCAGAGACUUGAAGGAGACUGAGGUGAGGUACAGUAAUAAGGAGAAGCCCUCCCUCCCUCCCUCUGAUUAGAGACCCCAGACCAGGAUGUGAGCUCCAGAGACUUGAAGGAGACUGAGGUGAGGUACAGUAAUAAGGAGUAGCCCCCCUCCCUCCCUCUGAUUAGAGACCCCAGACCAGGAUGUGAGCUCCAGAGACUUGAAGGAGACUGAGGUGAGGUACAGUAAUAAGGAGAAGCCUCCUCCCUCCCUCUGAUUAGAGACCCCAGACCAGGAUGUGAGCUCCAGAGACUUGAAGGAGACUGAGGUGAGGUACAGUAAUAAGGAGUAGCCCUCCCUCCCUCCCUCUGAUUAGAGACCCCAGACCAGGAUGUGAGCUCCAGAGACUUGAAGGAGACUGAG
rnacentral:lncRNA from 1 species